AUGCUCACCUCAGCAGCACAUAUACUAAAAUUAGAAUGAUAUAGAGAAGAUUAGCAUGGCCCCUGCACAAGGAUGACAAGUAAAUUUAUGAAGCGUUCCGUAUUUUU